rnacentral:lncRNA from 1 species
GAGUGGAGAUUAAUUCUCUCAUUUGUCCAGGUAUUUUGUCUUCAAUAGAGCCUCCACAGGUUACAUAAAUGAAUUUUCUUUCUGAGGGAGAUAAUCCUCCAUAGAAGAAUUGUAUAAGGGCCUUGUCUGACAUGUCAUGUUGAGGGCAUUCUGUGCAAAGUCUUUCAAACCUUUCCCAAUAAUCAUAUAGGUCCUCAGAUGGUUUUUGCUUUAUGCUUGUAAUUUCUCUUAUUAUGCC